AAUUUGAUAUUUUGAGUUGGAGAUGGCCUUAAUAAAUAUCACAAUCCACUGUCCUGGCCUCCAUCUUCAACCUGCAGACGUAUCAGACUGCGCUAGCUUCUGCUCUACAUACAUGAUACAUGUCUUAACUAUAACAAGGGUUACUGGUGGUAACAUAAAGAGCCGCAUCAACAUCAUGCAAGGGUUACUAGGUGGUGGUAGCAGCAUCAUGCAAUGAAAUUAUGGUAAAAUACUACACCAUUUUGUUGCACAAGAGUGAACUGGUAAACGAAUUCAUCUAGUUCCAUCUAUUGUUCCACAGGCAGCCUAUGAAUUCAAAAAUCAACCUUGCCGGAGGCAACCUAUGAAUUCAAAAAUCAACUAUGCCAGAGACGAUCACGCAUUCACGCAUAUUCUCUCGGACAAAGACGAACAGACACACAUACAGCUCCAUCGCCGCUGCUACAAACAAACAGGAAGACGACUCCGCCGACUCCAUUGCUUCAUACGUCAGCUCAACACCUAUAAGCUCCUGUGCAAAACUUGUGGUGAACCAUCUGAAGCUCAUAUUUCUUACUAUGCACACCAUAAUAAGCAACUCACAAUCCAAGUUGGACAUUUUCCUGCUGACUGGUGGUUGCCAGGUGAAAGUGAAGGGAAGCUUUGGAUGUGGAGCCGUUAUGGUAAAUGUAAACUCGAAAAUGGAAAUUCAAAAUCCACAAAGUGAAACUUGUAUGUAUGGUUCUUUAAGGCACAGGUGAAAGUGCUUUGUGUUGAGAAGGACAAUAUUGAGAAGGGCAUAGUGGACUUCAUCUCUGAGCAUCGUAUCAAGAAGCUUGUUAUGGGAGCAGCUGCUUGCAGACAUUACUCAAGACCUUUACACUAAAAGGAUGUUUGAUCUGCUAGUUUCUGCUUAUUCAACAGUAAGUGUGCAAGAUACCGCUCUCUUCCUGGGAAUGAAUGUUGGUGAUGCUACAAAUUGUAAGCUUUUCUCCUUUCUUGUUAGGCAGGAUGCUGUGUACCCCAAUGAAUGCCAUCGAGCUUUUGUUUUCUGCAAAAUGAUUUGUUACUAUAUUGGACUUUUAUUGGUCUUCAAAGGAAAGUAUAGUUGUUGUCUUAUAGGCAAUAGUAUUCUGUCCAUUGGCACUAAGUAUACAUUAAGAGGGCAAGCUAUAAAAUUACUAGGAAUUCUAGAAUGUCUGUUGAAGUACCAGUGAAAGGCAAGCUUUUCUAAUUUGACAUCUGGUCGACGAGCGACGAGUAACAUCGUCUUGUCAUUUUAAUCUUUGGCGAUAAGCAAGAAUCAAGUAUGUUUUUUUCCAGCUUUUUAAGAAGAAGCAAGGCAUUUCAUGAAAGGUCUGGUCAUUCUUUUAUUCAAUCUCUUCGUUCUCUAAUUGGUUUAACAAAAUAGGUGUUCUCAACUUUUGAAUUUACAGAUUACUCAAAUGGGCAUGCAUCAACAGUUAGCUCUGUUCUUUUUUCAAACUUGAAAACUGGUGUCAGAAAAGGAGCAUGGGACAAAGUAGAGGUAUGUACAAUCUGCUUCUAAACGAUUUUUUUUUUUAAAUAUAUGAAUUUAUCCUUAUACUUUGUGAAUUGGGCUUCUACAUUUGAACACAUACACAACAUAUUUAUCUAAGGGAUAUGAAAUCCACCAAAUCAAUCCAAAAUUUGCUAUCCAACAUGGUGUACAGCAUAAUGAAGGUGAACUGUCUCAUUUUUUUUCCUUUUAAUGUUACAACCUUGGAGUGCUACUACACUAAUAUUCAUGCAUUGUCCAAUCCAAACUGGAUUUUGAUUUAGCAAUCAUAAUAACUCAUGAAGAACUGCAAUGGUUAUGUAUAAACCAGUUUGCUCAAAGUGGCCACCAAUGUGUCAUUGCAAUGCCUAAACAAAAAUGAUAAUGUGGUGGCAGAUUGUCUCCUAAUUGUGUGUCAUGGUGUAGCCAUGACUGUUACCUUUGGCUCCCAAUUUCAAGCUUAAUUCUAGGUAAUUAGUCAAAAUUUCUGGAUGUGGAAAUGACUGUUGCCAUUUGUACCUUUAUGGAUUUUGGUUCAUUUAAUUUUACAAGACAAGAUGAUAUUAAUAGCAUUCGCAAAUUGCAGAUUUAUUUCCAUGAAAUACAGGUCAAAGCCAUUGAUAAACUGGUGAGUGAUUCUUGACUUUAAUGGGCAAACUUGCACAGGUUGCUAUUGCAAUUUUAACUUUUUGGCUAUUGUUGGCCAUGUAAAUUAACCAAAUUAUAUGGAUUGUGAUUAUGGUAAUGCUUUUCUUGCUUAGUUUUAUGGUAUUCUUGGCUUUCUUGCACAUGUUACUUCUUUGUUCUUGGAAUAUAGCUGACAAAAUCAACAAACUAUAUAACAAUUUAUAUAAAGCAUAUGCUUUUGUAGCUUAUCAAUGUUAGAUCAAAAUUGGGGAUUAAGCUUUCUUAAUACAAGAAGUAUGUUCAUUUGGGGAGUUUGUUGAUAGCUUUUCAAGACAGGAAGUAAGUUCAUGUAAACCCACAGGUUGCUAUUGCAAUUUUAACUUGUAGGCUAAUGCUGGCCAUGUAAACAAACCAAUUUAUAUGGAUUAAUGAUUAUGGUAAUGCUUUUCUUGCUUAGGCGUGAAGCUUUCAGCCUUCUUGCUCUUUCAACAAGAUCUGCAGGGUCCAGAUCCUCUAUUUGUAAAUGAUUGCUAGGAAGCAGGUGAGUGGAAAGUAUAACCUAGACUUCCAUUUUCAUGCACUUUCUUGCAUUGAAUUAUCUUCUUCAAACAUCUUGACAAUUGAAAACCCAGGGUUCCAUUUUCAAGCACCUGCCUUUAGUGGUUUGCUUAGUUAGAUUUGCUUUGUCAUUCCUCUUCACAAAUCACAAUUCGUAUUUAUGUGUGGUAUUAUAUGUCGCUCAGGAGAUUGAAUUAGAAGUUAAAUUUCAGAAUUUCAGAUUUUAACUUGUUUUAAAUUUUCAAUUGUAUAUUCGUGAAUGAAUUAUCUUCAAACAUUUGAAAUGUGUAUAUGUUUUUCAACAAAUAUCUUACCAACUUACAACAA